UACAGAGGUCUCAAGCGUUGUUCGGAUUCAUUGGGCGUAAAGGGUGCGUAGGUGGCGCCGUAAGUCAGGUGUGAAAUUUCGGAGCUUAACUCCGAAACUGCAUUUGAUACUGCGGUGCUUGAGGACUGGAGAGGAGACUGGAAUUCAUGGUGUAGCAGUGAAAUGCGUUAGAUAUUGGGAAGAACACCGGUGGCGAAGCGGCUAUCUGGACCGACAUUGACGCUGAGGCGCGAAAGCGUGGGGAGCAAACAGG
rnacentral:rRNA from 1 species